AUUGAACGCUGGCGGCAUGCUUUACACAUGCAAGUCGAACGGUAACAGGCCGCAAGGUGCUGACGAGUGGCGAACGGGUGAGUAAUGCAUCGGAACGUGCCCAAUCGUGGGGGAUAACGCAGCGAAAGCUGUGCUAAUACCGCAUACGAUCUAUGGAUGAAAGCGGGGGACCGUAAGGCCUCGCGCGAUUGGAGCGGCCGAUGUCAGAUUAGGUAGUUGGUGGGGUAAAGGCUCACCAAGCCAAUGAUCUGUAGCUGGUCUGAGAGGACGACCAGCCACACUGGGACUGAGACACGGCCCAGACUCCUACGGGAGGCAGCAGUGGGGAAUUUUGGACAAUGGGCGCAGGCCUGAUCCAGCAAUGCCGCGUGCAGGAAGAAGGCCUUCGGGUUGUAAACUGCUUUUGUACGGAACGAAAAGGUUUGGGUUAAUACCCUGGGCCGAUGACGGUACCGUAAGAAUAAGCACCGGCUAACUACGUGCCAGCCGCCGCAGUAACAC
rnacentral:rRNA from 1 species